rnacentral:rRNA from 1 species
GAUGAACGCUGGCGGCGUGCCUAAUACAUGCAAGUCGAGCGAACAGACGAGGAGCUUGCUCCUCUGACGUUAGCGGCGGACGGGUGAGUAACACGUGGAUAACCUACCUAUAAGACUGGGAUAACUUCGGGAAACCGGAGCUAAUACCGGAUAAUAUAUUGAACCGCAUGGUUCAAUAGUUAAAGACGGUUUUGCUGUCACUUAUAGAUGGAUCCGCGCCGCAUUAGCUAGUUGGUAAGGUAACGGCUUACCAAGGCGACGAUGCGUAGCCGACCUGAGAGGGUGAUCGGCCACACUGGAACUGAGACACGGUCCAGACUCCUACGGGAGGCAGCAGUAGGGAAUCUUCCGCAAUGGGCGAAAGCCUGACGGAGCAACGCCGCGUGAGUGAUGAAGGUCUUCGGAUCGUAAAACUCUGUUAUUAGGGAAAAACAAAUGUGUAAGUAACUAUGCACGUCUUGACGGUACCUAAUCAGAAAGCCACGGCUAACUACGUG